GGUCCGCUGGCUCAAUGGCAGAGCGUCUGACUACGACUCAUUCAACUCAUCACGAUGAUCUGAUGGAUCGGGUAAUCAGGAGGUUCCAGGUUCGACCCCUGGGUGGAUCG